rnacentral:rRNA from 1 species
UACAGAGGGGGCAAGCGUUGUUCGGAUUUACUGGGCGUAAAGGGUGCGUAGGUGGUUGUGCAAGUCUGAUGUGAAAUCUCCGGGCUUAACCCGGAAAUGGCAUUGGAAACUGCAUGGCUAGAGGGUUGGAGGGGGGACUGGAAUACUUGGUGUAGCAGUGAAAUGCGUAGAUAUCAAGUGGAACACCAGUGGCGAAGGCGAGUCCCUGGGCAACACCUGACACUGAGGCACGAAAGCUAGGGGAGCAAACAGG